rnacentral:lncRNA from 1 species
AAUUAGGAGGGUGACUACUCAGGCUUCCCUGUCCUGCCCUGGAGAAACAGCAGUCAGGCGCUAACUUGCUGGGGAUCAUUUAAUCCAUGCUGGUGUGCUGGCAGCCUGCCGUUUCCCCUCAAAUGCUUCAAGAACAAAGUAACCUGUUGCCACAAGCAGAAGUCAUUCGGGUACCAGCUGCAACUGUGAACUGGCAGAGAAGAGACAGACAAACCCUACGGGACUUCUGCAAGAUGCCUUCUGGACCCUAAUGUCGGUCUGUGAUGGCUGAUUUUGGUUGUCAAGUUAGGAUUACACCUGGAACCAACUAAAACCCAAGUAUGCCUGGGCAUGCCUGUUGACUGAUUUUCUUGAUUGGAUCAUUCGAGAUCUGAAGACCCACACCACAUCUAGGCCACCUCCUCUGGACGUUGACCACAUGGAAGGACUUGGAAGAAGGAAGCUUUUUGUCUUUCACCCACUUGCCCUCACUCCUGCUGGCACGUUCAUCUAUUCCAUUUCUUUGCUGGAAUUACAACCUACUUCUUUGGGGCUCUAACACAGACCAAGACCAGAAGCUCUUUAGGAGUUGCCCAGGACUCCAGCACCAGAUUGGGACUGAACUGCUGAGACAUCCAAUCUCAGGAACUAAACGACUACUGGAUUCUUAGCCUUCCUAUUGAGAGAUAGCAAUUGCUAAACUACCUGGACCACAAACUGCAGGCAAUUCUAACAAUUCCAUCUUUAACAUAUAGAACAGAUAUAGAUGUAGAUCUAGUCAUUUUCUCAGUUUUUUCCUCCGGAGCACCUUAACUAACACAAUGACCAUAGUAUAAAGUACAUAGACCAUUUGCCUUUAUCAGAUAAAUGAGACUUUGAAUAUAAACUGGGCCAUUUGGGAGGGGAUUGGAUUGGAGAUGGGAUGAGAAGGGGGAUGGGCAGCAGAAAUCAGGUGUAGGGAGGGCCCAGAAGAGUGAAUGGAAAUCAGCUGGGGUAGGGAUAUGCCAGAGACCUAGGAAGGGGGAG